rnacentral:rRNA from 1 species
GGCCCAGCCGGGGUGGAGCAUGUGGUUUAAUUCGAAGCAACGCGAAAAACCUUACCAGGCCUUGACAUGCAGAGAACUUUCCAGAGAUGGAUUGGUGCCUUCGGGAACUCUGACACAGGUGCUGCAUGGCUGUCGUCAGCUCGUGUCGUGAGAUGUUGGGUUAAGUCCCGUAACGAGCGCAACCAUUGUCCUUAGUUACCAGCACGUUAUGGUGGGCACUCUAAGGAGACUGCCGGUGACAAACCGGAGGAAGGUGGGGAUGACGUCAAGUCUUCCUGGCCCUUACUGCCUGGGCUUCACACUUGCUACAAUGGUCGGUACAGAGGGUUGCCAAGCCCCGAGGUGGAGCUAAUCUCUCAAAACCGAUCGUAGUCCGGAUCGCAGUUUGCAACACGACUGCAUGAAGUCGGAAUCGCUAGUAAUCGCGGAUCAGCAUGUCGCGGUGAAUACGUUCCCGGGCCUUGUACACACCGCCCGUA